rnacentral:rRNA from 1 species
UACGAAGGGGGCUAGCGUUGUUCGGAAUUACUGGGCGUAAAGCGCACGUAGGCGGAUAUUUAAGUUAGGGGUGAAAUCCCAGGGCUCAACCCUGGAACUGCCUUUAAUACUGGGUAUCUCGAGUCCGAGAGAGGUGAGUGGAAUUCCGAGUGUAGAGGUGAAAUUCGUAGAUAUUCGGAGGAACACCAAGUGGCGAAGGCGGCUCACUGGCUCGGUACUGACGCUGAGGUGCGAAAGCGUGGGGAGCAAACAGGG